AGAUUGAACGCUGGCGGCAUGCCUAACACAUGCAAGUCGAACGGGAGUAGCAAUACUCUAGUGGCGGACGGGUGAGGAAUACGUAGGAAUUUGCCCUUAAGUGGGGGAUAACCCGGGGAAACCCGGAUUAAUACCGCAUGACCUCGAAAGAGCAAAGUGGGGGAUCGCAAGACCUCACGCUUUUGGAGAAGCCUACGUCGGAUUAGCUAGUUGGUGAGGUAAUGGCUCACCAAGGCGACGAUCCGUAACUGGUCUGAGAGGAUGAUCAGUCACACCGGAACUGAGACACGGUCCGGACUCCGUACGGGAGGCAGCAGUGGGGAAUAGUUGGACAAGUGGGCG
rnacentral:rRNA from 1 species